AACGAACGCUGGCGGCAUGCCUAACACAUGCAAGUCGAACGAAGUCUUCGGACUUAGUGGCGCACGGGUGCGUAACGCGUGGGAAUCUGCCCUUGGGUGCGGAAUAACUUCUCGAAAGGGAUGCUAAUACCGCAUAAUGUCGUAAGACCAAAGAUUUAUCGCCCAAGGAUGAGCCCGCGUAAGAUUAGCUAGUUGGUGGGGUAAAAGCCUACCAAGGCGACGAUCUUUAGCUGGUCUGAGAGGAUGAUCAGCCACACUGGGACUGAGACACGGCCCAGACUCCUACGGGAGGCAGCAGUGGGGAAUAUUGGACAAUGGGCGAAAGCCUGAUCCAGCAAUGCCGCGUGAGUGAUGAAGGCCCUAGGGUUGUAAAGCUCUUUUACCCGAGAUGAUAAUGACAGUAGUCGGGAGAAUAAGCUCCGGCUAACUCCGUGCCA
rnacentral:rRNA from 1 species